CAGCAUCAGCAUGGCAGUGUGUCACCAUGGCAACGCGUCACAGCAUCAGCAUGGCUGUGAGUUGCCAUGGCAACGGGGCGCCGGGUCACCAUGGCAGCAUGUCACCAUGGCAACGCAUCCCAGCAUCAGCAUGGCAGUGUGUCACCAUGGCAACGGGGCGCCGAGUCACCAUGGCAACGCGUCACAGCAUCAGCAUGGCAACGUGUCGCCAUGGCAACGCGGCACAGCAUCAGCAUGGCAGUGUGUCACCAUGGCAACAGGGCACCGGGUCACCAUGACAACGCGUCACAGCAUCAGCAUGGCUGUGAGUUGCCAUGGCAACGCGGCGCUGGGUCACCAUGGCAACGCAUCUCCAUUGCAAAGUGUCACCAUGGCAACGCAUCACAGCAUCACCAUGGCAACGUGUCACCAUGNGGGGGGGGGGGACGGGGGGGGACACACACUUAGGGGGACACUUAGGGGGCACCACGUGACCCGUCGGUGA
rnacentral:lncRNA from 1 species